rnacentral:tRNA from 1 species
GUUUUUAUAGUUUAAUAAAAAACAUUGGUCUUGUAAACCAAAAAUAAAUUCUUAUUUUAAAAACU